UUCAAUUCAAAUGUUAGCAACAGCCCAUCCGCCUUGCCACUCCAAUUCAGCCUACCUAUUUCGUCUUUACUAAAUAGCCUCGACCCGUCCCAGUUCGGAGUCCACAAAAAAAGACAGAACAUCAACAACUAUAGCAAGUACACGAUGUGAAGCAGAUCAAACGACAUUGCACGUGACGGCGAGACGACGCCUAGACGCGCCUAACGCGAGAGCGAGUUAAUGGAAAACGUUCACAUCUCAGCAAGGCGCGUACAAGCACUUUGCGUUGCUUUUUUCUCCUUCCUUAAAGUCUCCCUCUGCUCGUACCAUCGCAGCACAAAAAGCAGUAGCAGGUCACGCGAUCGUCCAUGGUAGAGUGAGAUUACUCCAAGUCGCGCCCAACGUUGUCGGGAUCGAAUCCCAACCGUCCGUUCUUCCUUUUCCAUUUUGGAAUGGUUUGAACCUUCAGAAAAAGAUGUCUUGCCUGAAAUGGUGAAUGUUUUGAAGUUUGAAUAUCGGUUUUUGUUCCUUGUCUUAUUGUUUUUUCACCCCUUUCCCCCCAAAAAACCGAACCCUAACUUUUGCCUUUAUAUAGUCUCGUCUUCUUCAAUAAGGGGGAGUUUUUUUUUUUUUGAAUUGGUGAAUUGUAGUCUCAGAUUUUUUUACUAAGUCAAAAAAAAAGAUUGAGCGAAAAAUACUUUAGUACAUACUAAAUACACUUCAAGGAAAAGCUAGAAAGUGCUCUUAUAGUUAAUGCUCUGGGUUUCAAACCUUUCUCGGCUGUUGUUCGUGUCAUUGUUUGUGUGGUUGAGGUCAUUGUUGUCCAUCUAUACUCGUUGUUGUCCCAGUUUUGCUGUACUUCGAAAGGAUAGAAUCUUUUUGAAGGUCCAUGGUGUUCAGGUUUUUUUUCGUUAUAGUUAAAACUUUGAUGUAUUCUCUUCGUCGCUUUUUCUAGGUUUAAACAACAUGUUUUGUUUUCCAUGAAGUGUAAUGCAUUUCUUUUUACUUAUCCCUCUGUUUGUGUCACUUUGAAGCUGUGAUCGUUUUACAUGCUCCGAGAGGUUGGUCUUUCACAUAUGAGCCAGAUUAAGAGGUGCCUGUAUGAAUAUUUGGGAUAUCGGAUUCAAAACCAUUGUUGGUCUUGUUGUCUUGAUUUUCAUAAUAUAGUUGUGACCAACUUUCGAAUUGAUCGUAUAAGUCUUAGUUUGGCCCUUGUUUAUCAUGAACCUGUAUUAUUGUUUGGUGACCAAUGUCAUAUUUUUCAUCCCUUUUAUAUCUAGUUGAAUGGAUAAAUUGAGAUGUCGACAUUAUGAACUAUGUGUUGUAUUUGCCACUAUUUUGAACAUUAGACAACAUUGCUGUUGUUUCCUUUAUGAUAUCUCGCCAGUUCAGUUUCGCUGAGUCUAUUUCCAAAAAGUAUAAUUUACUCUCUCCUUUCCAGAUUAUGCAAUGUUCUAUUUUUCUUAUUCUUAUUCACUGACGCCUUAGUUCAUCCUUUUUGCCUUUCAAGGGUUGUAAAAAUAGAAAAUGCAUGUGUCAUUUGUUGUUGUUAACCAGCCAAGAAACGUAGUCAAAUUAAUAGAAUACUGUUCGACUUGAUUUUCGACAUGAUUUGGUGGCAAUGUUUGAUAGUAUUAUCCCUCAAGGAUACUAUCUUAGCAUUUUUGCCUAUUGAUGUCGACCAUUGGUCUAUAUUUGUCAUUGUAUGGUCUCUCUUAAUGUAGCUAUGUUUGAUUCUAGCUAGCCCCUUUAGGAAUUUUGGAAGCAUGCAAAAUAUGUAAACUAAAUCUUCCUUUACCUAUUAUUUAUGUAUUCCCGUAGUCAUUCAAAGAUCACUGUAAUGGGUGCGCUUUUGUUUACUUCUCCAUCUCAACCAUUUUGUAUAGGCACCAUUAAUUAGCAUGAUGUUUUUUUAGUGAUGGUUAUGCUCUGCUUAAUUUUGCUUUUAAUAUUUUAGUUAUCCAUGUGCCUUCGUUUUUAUGUUAGACAAUUCAUUAAUUUGCGCACCUUCCUAUUUCAUUCAUCUUUUCUUAAUCUUAAUUUGAUGAUAAGUUACUCUUUUCUUUUUUUGUGUUUACAUGAAAUUUCCCGAGUCCUAGUGGACUCCUUCUUACCCUUUGCAUUUCUCGUUAGGCCAUAGGGACCUAACAACUAUUUAUCGAGUCAGCCAAGUCCAGGGAAUUGACACACAGGUGGAAGACAAUGAAUAGAUGGUUGAAAUUUUGAUUUUCGGGCUUUGAAAAUCCCGAAAACAGGCGAUAUACCUGCUGUAUACAUUUGUAUACAGCCGGAAAUAUGAUUUACGGGUUGCUAAAAUAUGUAAGAACAUAGAUGGUACAAUACAGGUCAGAGGAGAUGAAAAAAUAGUAAUCAUAUGUCAAAAUACGGACCAAAUAAGGUCUUAAAUGAUUUUUUUGUCCAACAGUUCUAGUACUAGAAAAUGGGCUCGAAGGCCCAAAUUUGAUA